rnacentral:lncRNA from 1 species
GAGCAAGGCCGUAGCUUGUAUUAGCCAAAUUUAGAUCACAGAAAUAAUGUCUAAAGCUAUACCCAUCCUUGUAGAGAACCACAACAACCCAAACAUCAGGUGGAGCUUGAGACACUUCUCUCACAAAAUCUGACCCCGAAAUUGGAAGCACUGAUCCAAACCUAGAAAUUUUAACUGCUUCCCUCAUCUCUGCCAACCUCUUCUUCCUAUCAACACACAUUUCACCAUUAAAACAAGAAAACUUUCCAUAAAAAGAAAACAUAUUUAAUUCAAAAAGAAAAACAACUCCCCAGUGACUUCAAUGAGCUCCAUCCCCAGCCAUUUGAUACUUUUCACUAGCUUUCUUGAUUUCCAAAAAGACUAUAGAAAAAAAAAUUUCAAUUUAGUUGCAGAUCAAUUGAAAGAUAGAGAGAGACCUGUAAUCUUCGAGAAAUCGAUCGUCAUCGAGAUCAUCCUCGAGGUCCUCGAGGUCCUCUUCGUUCUUGCUAUCAAUCCAAGAUUUAUCUUUAGGAAUGGAAUCUUCGUCUGGAGCUGGAGUAAAAGACGGUGGCUUGAAAGCAGGUGGUUUUUCUGGUAAAUUCCCAAGCUUUCUCUGUAUAUCAUCCCACUGCGUCGAUGCUCCUUCCACAUCCUUAUACACAAAAUGGUAAUCCGCCAUUACUCUGCUUUUCGAUCUUGUUUCUUCCUAGGUUGUUUCUGGUAUUUUCUGACCUUCCAAACUGAUUUGUGCUAUUCCAGCAAGUAUAUUUAUUCCUUUAAGCUGGGGUAUUUUUGGGCUUUUGUUGGGCCAUCAGCCCAUCAAGUCCUUCUCCUAUUUAUAUCCGAGUUGAUACCGAGUCCCUCUGCUAACGCGGACACACAAAGGAAAGAAAGUGGGAAAAUUUCUCUGUUUUGAGUGUAUUUGUUGAUUGAUUGAUUGUUCGAUCAUCAGAAGGGAAAAUCGAGGAUGAACUCUAUAGAAUCGGUAUUGACGCUAAUCCAAGGACUAUCGAGUAGCUUAACGGAUAUCUCUGCUCUUCACACUUACUUGAAACAAGUAGGAAAGAAAAGCAACAAAGCAAUCACAAGUAAAUACCUUCAGGGGUACAUCUCCGGCCAAAACUCUGCAGACCCACAUAAUUUGCUUUCACCGCACCAUUAUUGUACACCAAUAAAGUGGGAAGAUUACGAUCCGGGUAGUUUGGUAUACAAUCUGUAGAUAUGAUCUUAACGAACUUUGUAGCAGGAUAUCUAGUUGCCAAUUCUUCCAGACAUCGCAUCAAUACUCCACAUUCCUGGUAUCUAUCGAGAGAAAAAUAAAAAAAUAAACUAAAACGAUAAUCGAGCAAGGCCGUAGCUUGUAUUAGCCAAAUUUAGAUCACAGAAAUAAUGUCUAAAGCUAUACCCAUCCUUGUAGAGAACCACAACAACCCAAACAUCAGGUGGAGCUUGAGACACUUCUCUCACAAAAUCUGACCCCGAAAUUGGAAGCACUGAUCCAAACCUAGAAAUUUUAACUGCUUCCCUCAUCUCUGCCAACCUCUUCUUCCUAUCAACACACAUUUCACCAUUAAAACAAGAAAACUUUCCAUAAAAAGAAAACAUAUUUAAUUCAAAAAGAAAAACAACUCCCCAGUGACUUCAAUGAGCUCCAUCCCCAGCCAUUUGAUACUUUUCACUAGCUUUCUUGAUUUCCAAAAAGACUAUAGAAAAAAAAAUUUCAAUUUAGUUGCAGAUCAAUUGAAAGAUAGAGAGAGACC